rnacentral:rRNA from 1 species
AGGAACUCGGCAAAAUGCCCCCGUAACUUCGGGAGAAGGGGGGCCUGAGGCGUGAAGGGAUUUACUCCUGGAGCGUUUGAAGGCCGCAGAGACCAGUGGGAAGCGACUGUUUACUAAAAACACAGGUCCGUGCUAAGUCGCAAGACGAUGUAUACGGACUGACGCCUGCCCGGUGCUGGAAGGUUAAGAGGAACGGUUAGCCGCAAGGCGAAGCUGAGAAUUUAAGCCCCAGUAAACGGCGGUGGUAACUAUAACCAUCCUAAGGUAGCGAAAUUCCUUGUCGGGUAAGUUCCGACCUGCACGAAUGGCGUAACGACUUCCCAGCUGUCUCAACCGCGAACUCGGCGAAAUUGCACUACGAGUAAAGAUGCUCGUUACGCGCAGAAGGACGGAAAGACCCCGUGACCUUUACUACAGCUUGGUAUUGGUGUUCGGUGUGGCUUGUGUAGGAUAGGUGGGAGACUAUGAAGCGCGGACGCUAGUUCAUGUGGAGUCAUUGUUGAAAUACCACUCUGGUCAUAUUGGAUAUCUAACCUCGAACCGUAAUCCGGUUCAGGGACAGUGCCUGGGUAAUUUAACUGGGGCGGUUGCCUCCUAAAAAGUAACGGAGGCGCCCAAAUGUUCCCUCAACCUGGUUGGCAAUCAGGUGUCGAGUGUAAGUGCACAAGGGAGCUUGACUGUGAGAGUGACAACUCGAGCAGGGACGAAAGUCGGGACUAGUCAUCCGGCAGUGGCUUGUGGAAGCGCUGUCGCUCAACGGAUAAAAGGUACCUCGGGGAUAACAGGCUGAUCUUGCCCAAGAGUCCAUAUCGACGGCAUGGUUUGGCACCUCGAUGUCGGCUCGUCGCAUCCUGGGGCUGGAGUAGGUCCCAAGGGUUGGGCUGUUCGCCCAUUAAAGCGGUACGCGAGCUGGGUUUAGAACGUCGUGAGACAGUUCGGUCCCUAUCCUCUGCGCGCGCAGGAAAUUUGAGAAGAUCUAUCCCUAUUACGAGAGGACCGGGAUGGACGAACCUCUGGUGUGUCAGUUGUUCCGCCAGGAGCACCGCUGAUUAGCUACGUUCGGACCGGAUAACCGCUGAAAGCAUCUAAGCGGGAAGCCGUCUUCAAGAUGAGGUUUCCAUGACUUAGGUCGAGAGGCUCGCAGCUAGACUACUGCGUUGAUAGGCGGGAUGUGGAAGUGGGGACUAAAGACCCAUGUAGCUGACCCGUACUAAUAAGCCGAUAACUUGAA